rnacentral:antisense_RNA from 1 species
CUUCAGCGAGCCCAGCCACAGCGGUUCCCGGCCGUCGGGGCCCUCGGGGCGGUCCUUGCCGUAGGUGGCGAUGAGGGCCUGGGCCUC